rnacentral:rRNA from 1 species
GAUGAACGCUCGCGGCAGGCCUAAUACAUGCAAGUCGAACGGGAUCCAGAUCAAAGCUUGCUUUGGUCUGGUGAGAGUGGCGCACGGGUGCGUAACGCGUGAGCAACCUACCCUUGUCAGGGGGAUAGCCCGGCGAAAGUCGGAUUAAUACCGCAUGACAUCAUUGAGAGGCAUCUUUCGAUGAUCAAAGAUUUAUCGGACAAGGAUGGGCUCGCGUGACAUUAGCUAGUUGGUAAGGUAACGGCUUACCAAGGCUGCGAUGUCUAGGGGCUCUGAGAGGAGAAUCCCCCACACUGGUACUGAGACACGGACCAGACUCCUACGGGAGGCAGCAGUAAGGAAUAUUGGUCAAUGGACGGAAGUCUGAACCAGCCAUGCCGCGUGCAGGAGGACGGCCCUAUGGGUUGUAAACUGCUUUUAUACGGGAACAAACGUCGGUACGUGUACCGGUCUGAGUGUACCGGAAGAAUAAGGAGCGGCUAACUCCGUG